rnacentral:misc_RNA from 2 species
CAACCCUCAAGCACUGCUUGGUAUUGGGUGUCACUUUUUGUGCACCUUAAAAUCAGUGGCGAUGCCCUGCAGCUUCAAGUGUAGUAAAUUUCUCGCUCUGGAGCCUGUCAGGAACACGGCCAACAACCCUCUAUUUUAUCUUAA